UAGCAAGGAGAAGGAAGCAAAGAUAAGCAAAGAGGUGGUGGCAAAGAGUAGCAAGGAAUAUGAGGCAAAGAUUAGCAAGGAAGCUGACAAUGGUUCGAGUUCUGUUGAUAACAAGGUGCAGAUUACUAAAGAGGAGGUUGAAGAGGGUGAAUUGGGAACUUUAAAAUGGCCACCGAAAGCAGAAGUUGAGAACGGAGAGAUUGUUCCACCAGAGAAGGCGAGGA
rnacentral:misc_RNA from 1 species